GUGCUCGCUUUGGCAGCAUGUAUACUAAAACUGGAAUGAUACAGAGAAGAUUAGCACGGCCCCUGUGCAAAGAUGACAUACAAAUUUGUGAAGUGUUCCAUGUUUUU
ensembl:snRNA U6 U6 spliceosomal RNA